ACCUGCGGAAGGAUCAUUAAUGAAUAAACUUGAACAGGCUGUUUGCUGGCCUCUCUCUCCGGAGGGGGUAUGUGCACGCUUGUCAUCUUUAUCUCUCCAACUGUGCACAUGCUGUAGAUCUGGGAGCCCUUUUGUAUUCUCGAAUAGAUUGAGGAUUGCUGUACUCAAGUGUCAGCUUUGCCUUGCAUUUCCAGAUCUAUGUUUUUUUUUCACAAUCUCUGAAUGUGUCUAGAAUGUUGAAUCGAAUGAUAAAUCAUAUACAACUUUCAGCAACGGAUCUCUUGGCUCUCGCAUCGAUGAAGAACGCAGCGAAAUGCGAUAAGUAAUGUGAAUUGCAGAAUUCAGUGAAUCAUCGAAUCUUUGAACGCAUCUUGCGCUCCUUGGUAUUCCGAGGAGCAUGCCUGUUUGAGUGUCAUUUGAGUUCUCAAACCAUGCUGAUUUUAUUGGCGUGGCUUUGGAUGUGGGGGUUUGCGGGCUUUUGAAGUCGGCUCCCCUGAAAUGCAUUAGUGGUAUCUGAGCAGAGACUACUUACAGGUGUGAUAAAUUAUCUAUCUAUGCCUCGGUAUGCUGCAUGAAACAGAUUGCACUGCUUAUAACGAGNGGNAAUUUUGACAAGUUUGACCUCAAAUCAGGUAGGACUACCCGCUGAACUUAAGCAUAUCAUAA
rnacentral:rRNA from 1 species